UGUACACACCGCCCGUCACACCAUGGAAGCUGGUCACGCCCGAAGUCAUUACCUCAACCGCAAGGAGGGGGAUGCCUAAGGCAGGGCUAGUGACUGGGGUGAAGUCGUAACAAGGUAGCCGUACCGGAAGGUGUGGCUGGAUCACCUCCUUUUAGGGAGACCUAAUCCAAUGUAGAAUCGAAAGCGAAAGCAAAUAGAAAUACAACUGGUCUACUCUAGGUCGGUCGAGAUUGGCAAAAAUAACUUUCAAAGUAUUAAAUCGGAUUCAGAGGGCAAACCUAGCACCUGUGAGAAGCAGAAUGCUGGAGUGAGAUCCAGUCAGAACCUUGAAAACUGCAUAAGAGAAAGAGUAAAAAAAGCAGUAAAAACUGCAAGUGGUCAAGCGAAAAAGAGCUAAUGGUGGAUACCUAGGCACACAGAGA
rnacentral:misc_RNA from 1 species